rnacentral:lncRNA from 1 species
CACAUGAAAAGUCUUACGGAUAGACAAACUUCCAUUCAAGCCAAUGUCAAGUUUUCAUUGCAAGAAAGUAGCAGCCGUGUUUAAGGUAAGAAAGUUUCUGCUUUUAUUGAAAAUUUAUAUAUGACUCAGUAUUGUAAUAAAUAAACAUAACCAUUUUCACAAAAAAUGACAGUGCUAUGCUAAAGAAGAAAAUAUUAAAUGGGGGAUUUACUUGUAGUGGCAAGACAGACUUUUUAUCAAUACAGAAUAAAUAUUAACAGCAUUCGUGAGCCAAUGUUGAGACCCAACAAAAUGUAGGAAUCAAGCAUGAUGUAAGAAAUAAUUAUCCAGAGAAAAAGAUGGUGUAUUCUCGGAUGAUAAGACUGUCUUUGUAAACUGGUGCAUAUCAAUUAGUCCCAUCCUCACAGCUCACCUUCAAACCACAGGGCUUGUUUCUGGCUAUGUUAAAGGACCAUCCUCUGAGGAAAGCAGAGGAGAGGAACUCCAUUAUCCUUACAGUGAAACGCAACCACUGCAGAAAAACUCCACUGAGUUCGCUCCAAAUGCUCAUCUUCUUCUUCGGCCCUGGAUGUCAGACAAACAGGACAAACAGGAAACAAAAUUAUUUUUCUUCGUGGAGGGCAGAGCAGCACUCCCCCGUCGCCCAGUAUUUGGAUCCCCAGCGGGAAUGGGGAGCACCAGGCCAGUGGGAGGCUGCCCCGGCCCUCCCGCGACCUCUGGAUUGAACUUUCCGCACACUUCUCGGCCCCUCGGCAGGUGGCCCAGCCUCGACCCGACCCCAC